AUCCAAAUCCAAACGGAUAAAAAUGCACGCACACACGGACCAGGAGCUUCACUCCACGGACUCGCCGGUGCUGUACUACUCGGAAAAGGUCGUCGAUGGCCGCUCUCACGAUCGGCAUAGCCGCAAUAGCGAGCAUGACCACCUCCAUAGCCGGCUCCAGAAGCUUUCAACGACUCCGUCACAGGCCGAGAAGAAUCUCCUGCGUCGGAUGGGAUCCGGAAGGCCUUUUCGGACCGCCUCAGACCGGCCACAUCGCCCGCCGCGAGUUCCGCAGGCGGCUCGAGAAGGAUGCCGAGGCUCGCGAGGAGUUCGAGCGCCACGUCCGCCAGGAGAAGGAGCGUCGCCGAGCUGUCCGAGAAUCUCGGGACGUGCCGGAGACUCCGGCGGAGCUGAUCGAGUACUUUCUAGACACCGAGGCUCAGGAACUCGAGUUUGAGAUGGCGAGGAUGAGGCCGCGGUUAAAUGAAGAAUUCUUUGCCCACCUAGAGUUUGAAUUGGGCCAACUUCGAUUUUCUGUUUCAAAAACCCAGGACAUGGAAGACAGAUUGAUUGAGCUGGAAGCUUUGCAGAAGGCUUUGCUUGAGGGGACAGAAGCCUAUGACAAAAUGCAGGUUGACCUUGGAAAAGCGAAGAACAGCCUGACAAAACUUUUGACAUCGAAAGAUGUUAAAGCGACUUUACUAGACAUGGUUGAGCAGAACGAACUGAACAGAUCAUUAUUGACGCUUCUUGAUGAAAAUAUAGCAAAUGCUCAGAAGGGUAACCAGGAAAAAAUCGCAGUUUACAUGGAAAAAAUGCGUGCAGCUGUUCUCAAGUACAUGACAGUCUAAUGCCUGGUCAGUCCAUGCUAUGAUUUCUUGAUGAUGUUCAGUUGACUUCUCUCUCCACAGCACUGCAGGCAAGUCUCCACGGACAACUGAAAUUGGAGUUUUGCUGUUGCCGGUUGAACAUCACAUGGCCACGCUGUGUCUCCCUUUGGGAUCCAUUGGGUUAGUCAGUUUGGAACAAUGUCAGGCUUUGAAGUUAAGCGGCUGCGUUAUGGGCUAGAGUGCCACUGGAUCGAGCAAAAUUUAGUGCCAUUACUUAAUUUUAUAAUUGAAUGAUCUUGGGUGUUGAUUCUUAUUUUCCCCUGAAUUUUGGAUGAAAAAAUUCAGGUAGUGUAUUUCUCGGAUAUAAGCAACAUGUCUUUCAGCGGGACAGGUACAGAGCAUUAUCACUCCUCAACUAACAAAGUCAGUUGCUUCUUGAGAGAACAUUUCGGCCAGUACUCCUGGCAUCUUCUACGCCAGCAUUAGAAUCCAUUCUACUGCAAGUUUCUUUAGUUCCAGUCUAGAAUCUUCAGGACCCCACCUCUCCCUAACGGGCACCGAGUGAAAACCGGGCUCAUCCUCAGUCAAUUUGACUUGUCCAUGAGCCCGGAAUGCUUCCUAACCGGUAUCGCUCCCAGUGCAUUUAUCCACAUACAGAAAACGAACGUCUUCCUGAUGGCAUUUAACUGAUGUUUGGCAUAUAUCUUUGAUGUGAUAUCCCUAUCUAGGACCCAUCUGUUGAGCCAAACUUUUCAGCUGAGAGAAGUUUUGGCACGCCUAUCCUAGCAAUUAAGUCAUCCUGCGCCAAACUAGAAAAGAAGGAAAUGAAGGAGCAUGUAACUCUAGCUGUUCAUAGUUAACUGCAAUUGACGCUUGCUCGGGCGUUUUGCUUAAAGUUCGAUCCCCUUGCUGGCGAUUCCUUUGAUUGACCUCUCGAGUCACAAAAUUUUGUUACUUUGUAACUAUGCGAGUGUAAUUACUUUAAGCGGUUGAGAUUGGACGCCGUGGGGACUAGUUAAUAGUUAAUUGGUAUCGACUGUACCCAUCGAUAUCAAACGAAAAUUUGCAAUUCAUAGAAUUUCUUACACUUGAUUUGAGCGGAAAAGAAUAAAUGCUAAAGUAAAAGACAAAGCAAAAGUAGAAAGCAAAGAAGCUUAUAAAGAGGGGGGGCAGCAAUGAUGGUGCCGCGAGUAUGGGCUCACACUUUAUUGCUGGUUUCAUAGGGCUAGAGGACCGAGCUGGACCGAGCUGGACAUGAACUUGACUAGACUAGAUUUACAUAUUUCAUGCUAGAAACUUGAUUUGAAUUCAAUCGGCUCAAGCUC